rnacentral:rRNA from 1 species
CCUUUGGGGUAGGGGCGGAAGGUGAGUACGCGUGGGUAACCUGCCCUGUACACACGGAUAACAUACCGAAAGGUAUACUAAUACGGGAUAACAUACGAAAGUCGCAUGGCUUUUGUAUCAAGCUCCGGCGGUACAGGAUGGACCCGCGUCUGAUUAGCUAGUUGGUAAGGUAAUGGCUUACCAAGGCAACGAUCAGUAGCCGACCUGAGAGGGUGAUCGGCCACACUGGAACUGAGACACGGUCCAGACUCCUACGGGAGGCAGCAGUGGGGAAUAUUGCACAAUGGGCGAAAGCCUGAUGCAGCAACGCCGCGUGAGCGAUGAAGGCCUUCGGGUCGUAAAGCUCUGUCCUCAAGGAAGAUAAUGACGGUACUUGAGGAGGAAGCCCCGGCUAACUACGUGCCAGCAGCCGCGGUAAUACGUAGGGGGCUAGCGUUAUCCGGAAUUACUGGGCGUAAAGGGUGCGUAGGUGGUUUUUUAAGUCAGAAGUGAAAGGCUACGGCUCAACCGUAGUAAGCUUUUGAAACUAGAGAACUUGAGUGCAGGAGAGGAGAGUAGAAUUCCUAGUGUAGCGGUGAAAUGCGUAGAUAUUAGGAGGAAUACCAGUAGCGAAGGCGGCUCUCUGGACUGUAACUGACACUGAGGCACGAAAGCGUGGGGAGCAAACAGGAUUAGAUACCCUGGUAGUCCACGCCGUAAACGAUGAGUACUAGGUGUCGGGGGUUACCCCCCUCGGUGCCGCAGCUAACGCAUUAAAGUACUCCGCCUGGGAAGUACGCUCAC